rnacentral:rRNA from 1 species
UUAAAUUGAAGAGUUUGAUCAUGGCUCAGAUUGAACGCUGGCGGCAGGCCUAACACAUGCAAGUCGAGCGGUAGCACAGAGAGCUUGCUCUCGGGUGACGAGCGGCGGACGGGUGAGUAAUGUCUGGGAAACUGCCUGAUGGAG